AUUCCAGCUCCAAUAGCGUAUAUUAAAGUUGUUGCAGUUAAAAAGCUCGUAGUUGGAUUUCUGGUAGGAGCGACCGUGCCGAACUUGAUUGUUCGUGUAUUGUGUUGUCUUCAGCCAUCCUCGUGGAGAACUUUUCUAACAUUAACUUGUUGGGAUUGGGACCCGCGUCGUUUACUGUGAAAAAAUUAGAGUGUUUAAAGCAGGCAUUAGCUUGAAUACAUUAGCAUGGAAUAAUAAGAUAGGACUUUGGUACUAUUUUGUUGGUUUGCAUACCAAAUUAAUGAUCAACAGAAACAGUUUGAGGAUAUUCGUAUGAACAUGUCAGAGGUGAGAUUCUUGGAUUUUGAUCAGACGAACUACUGCGAAAGCAUUUAUCAAGGAUGUUUUCAUCA
rnacentral:rRNA from 1 species